GACGAACGCUGGCGGCGUGCUUAACACAUGCCAGUCGAACGGAAAGGCCCUGCUUUUGUGGGGUGCUCGAGUGGCGAACGGGUGAGUAACACGUGAGUAACCUGCCCUUGACUUUGGGAUAACUUCAGGAAACUGGGGCUCAUACCGGGUAGGAGCUCCUGCUGCGUGGGGUGGGUUGGAAAGAUUCGGCGGUUCGGGAUGGAAUCGCGGCUUACCAGCUUGUUGGGGUGGUAGUGGCUUACAAAGGCUUUGACGGGUAGCCGGCCUGAGAGGGUGACCGGCGACAUUAGGCCUGCGAGACGGCCCAGUCUCCUACGGGAGGCAGCAGGGGGGAAUAUGGCACAAUAGGCGGAAGCCUGAUGCAGCAACGCUGCGUGCGGGAUGACGGCCUUCGGGUGGUAAACCGCUGUCGCCUGUGACGAGGCGUGAGUGACGGUAAUGGGUAAAGAAGCACCGGCUAACUACGUG
rnacentral:rRNA from 1 species